rnacentral:tRNA from 1 species
GCGUCCAUAGCUCAAUGGUACGAGCAUUGUUCUUGUAAACCAGGGGUCGUGAGUUCGAUCCUUACUGGUGCC